CCAUGUGGUAGAUAUUGUUGCAGUACUUAGCAGGGCUUGGAGUGCCGGUGUUGAUCGAAUUAUUGUUACUGGUGGAUUUCUAGAGGAAUCAAAAGAAGCUCUUGCUAUUGCUGAAACUGAUGCAAGACUUUUUUGCAUGGUUGAUGUGCACCUAACAAGAUGCAAAGUGACUGUUGAUACUCUUCUGAAUGCCAUCCUUAAGUUAUUGAAUGUGUGAGAAUAAGGAUGAAUGGAUACAUUUGUGAUCGAUUCAGGAAUUUGAUAAGAGUGGGGAUCCCGAAAAGCAUUUUCAGUCUCUUCUCUCAUUGACUAAAGAGGGGGUUGAGAAAGGAAAGGUGGCAGCAAUUGGUGAAUGUGGACUGGACUAUGACAGGCUUCAUUGCUAAAAGAAUCCAAUGCCAGAUGAUUUGGGGAAGCGUAGGGGAAUCCAAUGCCAUAAACAUUGCUAAAAGAAUUGGCUUUGAUGAGAAGAUAAUUAACUGUGCCCAAGCAUGGAUAAACAAGUUGACCCCACAGAAGGUACAGAUGCAGAAAGAUUUGCUGCACCAGUGACUAAUGGAAGAAAGAAGUAGAUUAGAAAUUCAAGCAAAUAAAGUUGCAUCUCUUCACUCGGAUAUUAUGAGCAUUUAUUAUGAGAUAAUAAAUGCGGCAGAUGACUUUGAAGGGCGUGAGACAGCUCUUGAGACCAAGGAGAGCCAACAGAUCCAACAGGAAUUGAAGGCUGUGAAGAAGGAAAUUUAAGAUAUAGUGCAUGAAUUUGAAAACCAACUUAAAAAUGUUGAUGCAGAUAAGUACAAUCUGUUGCUGAAGAAAGCAGAGUCUGCAAUUGCAUCCCUUGUUGAAGCUCAUCAGCCUACUGAUGGUCUUUCUAUUGGGAAUACGGACAGCAGGUUGUAUGUACCACAGCCUGGUGAGCAAAUGUAUGUCAAGGGACUUGGGAAAAAGUUGGCUACUGUAAUUGAAGCACCUGGAGAUGAUGACAUGGUCCUUCUCCAACAUCGAAAAGUCUGAGUACAUGUGAAUAAACACAGUGUAGGAGCUCUUGCAAAUACUGGUAUUAGUGGUGGAACAGCUUCUAAUCAGUCAACUUUUGGGAACACACAUUAUUCAUCAACUUCUCAAUUUGGACAUAUCAUGGACAGUUGUUCUGAAAUUGGAUAUUAAUUGCAAGAGGAAACUAGUACUGCAUGUGGACAUUAGCUCUCGGCAUCAGUUAAACAGAAGACAAUGGGCAUUUUUUCUGCACAAUUGCCUAAAUGUUUUUCGUAUAUUUCAUAGCACAAUGCUCUCUAUUUGGGAAGCAAUGUGAUAUAUGGGUAUCAACAGACAACCUGCUACUGCUUUGUGGAAAGGCUUCUACAUUGCAUAGAUUAGCUGAUGCUUUCAACCUUUGACUGGAACAUAUGUUGCCCUGUAAUGUUUGUUUACCUCCAAAGCCAACAGUUAGACAUCCUUGCGUGCUUCACCUAAUUAUGAUUAGCUUGCUUUAUGUCAAUUAAUCGUUCUAUAUUGGAAAGUUAAGACACUAAAUGUGUUUCU